GCCACCUACCCUUCCUCCCCACACACAGAGAGAGAAAAGGAAACAUAAUCAAACACUCACUGUAGAGUUUAUUUUCUGUCAUGGCCCAAAAGUAGUCAUUUAUCGUCAGCCCAGUUUGGAAGUGACUAAACCGAGAAUGUGGAGACGGAGAACUGAUGGUAACAAAGUUGACUUGCGAUGUAACGUCAGCAAAGAGAGGGAUAACCGACAGACGAGUCGACCACCCCACUUCAUCCUAGCGAAAGGAAUGCAGACGACUGUGAAGAAAGGAAUCAUCUCGUACCUAGAUUUGGCGUUCGCACUUGGAGAUUCAUGACAGGCCGCCGAACAGCAUAGAAGACUGUUCACAAGGCUGAUGGUGGCAUUACCUGUGUUCGAAUCACCUCAAGAUAGAAUUGAAAGAUGAUGGAGCAGUGAUGACAUCUUGCACUACACAGAUUUUUGUCCAAUCAGAUGCUCUCUUGAAGGAGAAUGUCCCACCCCCUUAUGCCGCUUACAACUGACUAAUUAAAUAACACCAGACGAGUUUGAAAUGCUAUGCAG